rnacentral:lncRNA from 1 species
UUUUUACACUAUUAAUAUUAUCCACUUGCGGCGGGGGUAUCAUCAGUGAGCAGUAGCUCGCAGUUUCACUUGUUAAUUACUUUAUUAGAUAAUUGUCAGUUUACAUAAUUAGCACAUGUAGUAAAUGAGCUAUUAAUUAUGGUAUAAAAUUCCCUUAUCUAGUCCUAGGUAUUAAUAUUGAGAGUGUUACGUUCAUAAAACAACACACAAUACAUAAAAUGGGUAUAAUUUUGUUUUUGCAUUUUGUAAAUGUUUUACCAACGAAAAUCCAACGAGUACUCGAUUAGUAAAUCUUCACCGAGUUGACAUCCCUAAUUUGAACUGAUAUCAUUAAUAAAUAAAUAUUUUCAUCAGACUGGUUUAUAUAUUUUUUAUUCUUUUUUCUUAUGUAAAAUUGAUUGAUCAGUUAAAUUGAUUAAUGUUUGCUUCACAUCUUGUAACCAGCUGGAUAUUAAACAUGAUUGACAUUCUCAAUAAGGACCUGAAACCAAAGUACACUAAAAUAAUCAGUAUAACAGGAAAGCCAUCUCAAUGGGUUCACUAUUGUUUGAGAUUCUUUUAUCUCUCCAGAAAAUGACUGACCGUUCUGUAUUACCAUCCUGCUUUGAUUAUUUUUUCAAAUGUAACUUUCAGUGCUUAUAUUGGUGAAAUAGAACUGACAAUGAUAAUACUAAAUUGAUUGAAUUUUGCUUCACAUCUUAUACCAGUUGGAUAUUAAACAUGAUUGACGUUCUCAAUAAGGACCUGAAACAAAAGUGCACAAUAUAUCAGUAAUUCUUGUUUGAGAUUCUUUGUAUCUCUCAUUAAAAUUAUAAAAAUAAAAGACUGACCCAAUUGUAUGACCACCCUGCUUUGUUUAAGUAGGUAUGAUUUAAACGUGUUUCAUCAUUCUUUAUAACAUUGAAGUUUAAUGCGUCUAUAGAAAAAUGAAUUUUCAGCAUGACAGCUCAUACUGUAUUAGAAAAUCCACCUGUAAGAAGUUAAUGCUCAACAUGACAGGUUUUGCUGUUUUAAAUGUCAUAUACGUGAUGCAGACUGCAGUUUGAGUUAAAUUCCCUUUAAAGUUAUAAAAAAAUCAAACUAAAAAUAUUUAUAAUGUGAUGAAUGAUUUCAUGUUAUUAAACAUUUUUGUAAUUUAUAAUUUUCAGUUACAGUUUAUACUACUGAUCUUCAUAACAUUUUAUUGUUUGAAUUGUAUAUUGUUUAUAUUGUAAAAUAGAUAUCUAUAUUGUUGAUAUAUUAUGUAUCAGAAAAGAUAAUCAUAAUAAAAUUAUUUAUCAGUA